rnacentral:rRNA from 1 species
AUGACCGGAAGUAAGGACUUGGUGGUGGACGUGCACAAGAUUCUAUCUAUGCCCACCAAUGUCGAGUGGGGUGAUGCCUCAUCUUCUAAGGUAUUGGGACUCAACAAGGUUGUCAUUUCUCAUGAUCUCACGAUCGAGAAAGUCAUGCUUGUUGAGUCCCUUGCAUACAAUUUACUUUCCGUUCGUCAACCUGCACUCAUGGGUUUUGCCACUUUCUUUGAUAUUGAUACCGUGGCCCUCUUAUGGAGCAAGACUCUUAAAGUAGCCUUCGUUGGGCAUGUCGAGAAUGGUCUCUAUGUGAUUAACUUUUCGGAGCGACCCACUAAGACCGCGACAUGCCUAAUGGCUAAAGUUGAUGUGGGAUGGCUUUGGCAUCGCUGUUUAGCCCAUGUCAAUAUGAGAUCUUUGCAAAGUCUUCUCAAGGGGGACCAUGUCCGUGGACUAACAAAUGUUAGUUUUGCCAAAGAUCGUGCUUGCAAUGCUUGUAUUGAAGGAAAGUUACAUGAGAAGGCUCACCCUCCCACGACUAUCAUUUACUCAAAGAGGCCUUUGGAGCUCCUUCACUUGGAUCUCUUUGGGCCUCCAUCCUUUGAUAGUCUUGGGGGUAGAAAGUAUUGCUUGGUGAUAGUGGAUGAUUAUUCAAGAUACACUUGGGUGUACUUCUUCAAGAGGAACAGUGAGACUCAACAAACCGUCAUUGACUUUGCAAAUGAAGCUCAACGCCAACACAAUGCAAAGAUCUUGACGAUAAGAAGUGACAACGGCAUCGAGUUCAAGAACUACACCUUGGAUGAGUUUCUUAGUGUUGAGGGGAUCAAGCAUCAAUGUUCCGCACCUUACACCCCUCAACAAAAUGGUGUAGCGGAGAAGAAGAACCGGACGUUGAUGGAUGUGGCAAGGACCAUGAUGGCGGAGUUCAAGUCUCCAUACAACUUUUGGGCCGAAGCCAUCAACACCGCGUGUCAUGCAUCCAACCGGGUCUAUCUCUGCAAAGGCUUGAACAAAACUCCAUAUGAGAUACUCACCGGUAACAACCCCAACCUCAAGUACUUUCGGGUGUUUGGAUGCAUGUGUUUCAUUCUCAAGAAAGGUGUUUGUUUGUCUAAAAUUGAGGCUACAACUCAUGAAGGCAUAUUUGUUGGUUAUGCUACAAAUUCUCAUGCUUACCGUUCCUCAAUAAGUCCACGGGACUUAUUGAGGAGACGCGUAACGUGGAGUUUGAUGAGAAUAAUGGCUCCCAUGUGGAGCAAAGUGGUACUUGUGAUGUAG